CUGUUCUUUGAUUUGAAUGAUUUUUAUUGAUCUGUCUUCAAAUUCAACAACUCUGUCCUCUGCCAUUUCCACUUUGCCAAUGAGCCCAUUUAGUAUGUUUUUGUUUGUUUAUUGUAAAUAUUCUCAUGUUAUCAUUUAAUUCUUUAUUUCUUUGAUAUUUCUGCUGAGAUUUUUUUUCCCACUUAUUUAAAGAGUGUUUGUAUUUCCUGGAGCAUUGUUAUGAUGGCUCUUUUAAAAUGCUUCUUCAGUAAUUCCUACAUUUGAGUCAAAUCAGUUUUGAUGUCUUUGAUUUAUUUAUGUUGUCUUUCAAAUUGAAAUUAUUUCCUAUAUGAAAAGAAAUUUUGGACUCUAUCUUGGAUCUUGUGAAUAUUCUGUUUUUAAAUUCUGCUUAUUUUAUUUAUUUUAUUUUAUCAUUUUUUGUCUUCUUAGGGCCGUAGCAGUGGCAUGUGGAGGUUCCCAGGCUAGUGGUCAAAUCAGAGCUGUGGCUGCCAGCCCACGCCACAGCCACAGCAAUGCGGGAUCUGUGCCAUGUCUGCGACCUACACCAUAGCUCAAGGCAAUGCUGGAUUCUUAACGUACUGAGUGAGGCCGGGGACCAAACCCACAUCCUUAUGGAUACUAGUCAGGUUGGUUAACAAUGGGAACUUCUCUCUCUCUUUUUUUUUAAUUCUGCUCACUUUAAACUUCUAUUUUAUCAAGAGCCAGUCAAUUUAGGAGACAGUUUAAAUGUCAGCUUAGAUUAUAAAGCUUCUGCAGCCCUCUGUCUUUGUGAGUUAUUCAGAUGACAGAGUUCCACUCCAUAGUCUCUUCAGCUCUAGACUGGAACAGAAAGAAGCAACAUCUUGUCAUUACAUCCUGAGAAAAAUGGACAGGGUUUUACCACUGACUUAGCUUAGAUCUAGUGCCUAACCCAUCACUGCAGAGAAUUUGUAAUUCUUGAAUUGUAAGUUCACAGAAAAACAAGCCAGUUGUUUACUUCAGUAUUUUUCUUCCACACUCCCUUUCUUCUCAUACAUAUUCAAAGUACAUGUAUAUUAGACCACUUGAUACCUCCUUCUGGUCAUUGAAACUCUAUUAAUUUUUUAAGCAAUUUUUAUCCUCUUUGUCCUGAGGUUAAAUUCUAUCAAAGUUUCAGUAAAAUUUUCUUCUUGAUUUUUUAAUAUUCCUAAUGAUAUGUUGACAUUUCUGUAAAUACAUUUUUGUAGGCAUCAACUAUAUAGCCUAAUUUCAAGUUAUUCAAAAUUGAAAUGCAUUUCCAGAGACCAGGUUCUUAAAUGUAGGUAAUUUCCUCCAUCCUUAGAUAAUUUUUUAAAUUUUUAUUUUAAGAACUAAAAUAGCUAUCACAUCCCAUAUUCCAUUUGAUAAAGAAAAAGAAAAAAGUUAAAUUAAUGGAUAAUUGAAUGAAGAUGCUUCAACUUGAGAAAGGUUAAAGGUAAAUCAUCUCUGUUUUAAUAAUACAGGUUUAUUUAUUUAUUUAUUUAUUUAUUGGACACCCUGUGAUAUACAGCAUAUGGAGUUCUAGAGCCAGGGAUCAGAUCCUAGCUGCAGUUCCAACCUACAUAGCUGUUGUGGCAACUCUGGAUCCUUUAACCCACUGCACCAGGCGGGGAAAUCAAUGCCACCAGUCCCAUUGCUGCAGUUCCCAUUGCAGGAACUCCUAUAAGCAGAUUUACUUAUCCUAUACUCUGGUUCAAGGAGUGAAUGGUGGGAAAGUAUGAGAUAAUUUGGAUUUUCGAAUUUAAAUCAUCUGUAUCCUAAGAUCAAUCUAGGUUAUGCUUUAAGCAUGAAGUUAAAAUUUCCUUCUCGUUUUGAAAUAUGAAAACCCUCUCUUUCAAUUUAUCUAGCCACUUUCCAGAAUCUCAUACAAUCAGAAGAAAUCCAAAUAUUCCAACCUGAAACUGAAGGUCAUGUGUCAAAUUUAUGUGUAUUUCAUGCAAUAUCAGGCAAUCAGACAUCAAGUACUGAAAGAGACCAAAUGGUACAUGCCAUUUUCUCCCCAUUUCCUCUCACAAAACAAAAAGAUGACAUGCUUGAUUUUGAACAUGAAUCUGAAAUUAAAUGAUAUAAUCACAUUAAUGGAAAAAAUUAAUUAAGAUCUUGGGGUUAUAUACUAUUUUCUUUUCUUUAGAUAGAAAGGUAGAGGGUGUGGGAAUUCUUAUGUCCAGUCGUGCUGGAAUCUUACUGUUGCAGAAAAUCAUAUAUUAACCACGAAAAAAAAAAUGUAACCAUUUAAAUCUUCACAUACAAAGCAAAAUUAAUUGUAUAUAAAUUAAAUAAAUAUAAUUUUUAAAAUGUAAGCAGUUAAAUCUGUGUGCAAAUUUAAGCAAAUAUUGCUCUUAAUCUGAGUUAUAAAAAGACUUUUUAACCCUAGGAGCUCUGUAGAAAGAACACAGAAGUCUAAUACAUUGUAUAGUAAAAUUAUAUUACCACAUGUUUAUUUAGUGUAAUAUCUACAUUUUUAUCCAUCAAAAUUUUAAAAAACACAGAGACAGAGUCAUAACCUCAUCAGAAGCUCAAGGAAAAAUUAAUAUGUACACUUUGAUUGUUCUUCAUAUGUCUAAGUAUCCCUUGGAUUGAAUUAAUUUAUUAGAAGGAAUUAACCGUUUGAAGAGUAUUUACCUUGGCCCCAUACUUCCCAUUCUGAAAUCACCUUGCCAUAGCUUUUCAAAUGUGAAGACUCAGAAACAGAAGCAGUAUUGUAGGUCAAGUUGCACAAAAUCUUAACCAAAUGCCUUGUCUGAAUGUAGCAAGGCUUUAUGGUAGCUCUGCUUGUUCAAUAUUAGCUAUCUAUCUAAUGCAAUUAAAUUUCACCUGGGAUCCAUAGAUGUCCUAAAAAAGUUCAUGUUAUUAAUUACUUAGUAUAGAGAGGUAAAAUAUAUGUCUAAUAUAUUGGAUAUGUUUGUCAUCCAUCAAUUUUGGUAAAUAAAGGAAUUUUUAUAAGUAACAAAAUUGAUCUUUAUAUGUAUGUAUACAUAAAAUGUUAAGUGUCUCAGAACAAAACAAAUACCAAUCUAAUAGGAAAUGAGCAGACGUAAAUUCUAGGACAGAGACUAACUUUCCAGUAACCAAUUUCCUGAAAGGGAAAGGCAAUGUCUCAUCUUGUUUUUAUUUUCUUAUUAUUUGCUUUGAUUUUAUUGUUGUCUGCUGUUUUAUUUUAAUUUCUGAGGUUAUAAAGCCAAUGUUUUCUAAAGCAACAUAUUCCAUGUAACAAUUCCCACAGAACCAACACCCAUAUUUCUUUGACUUUAACUUAUUUUAAGCAUAUGUGUAUGUGUGUUUCUGUGUGUAUAGGCAUGUAUAUAUGUCAUAAACACAAAUACACAUCUAUGUUUUGAUGUUGUCAUUUGCCCCAUUCUGUAUAGGCUUAAGUGAUUAAUAUUUAUCUAACAAUCCAGUAAGUACAGUGAUUUAAGACACAGUCAACCUACCAGAAC
rnacentral:lncRNA from 1 species